rnacentral:rRNA from 1 species
CCCUGCCAUUUGUACACACCGCCCGUCGCUCCUACCGAUUGAAUGGUCCGGUGAAGCGUUCGGACCGCUUCCUUUGGACGGGCAACCGUCUGUUGGUCGUGGGAAGUUCGUUAAACCUUAUCAUUUAGAGGAAG